GACAGAGGGUGCAAACGUUGCUCGGAAUCACUGGGCGUAAAGGGCGUGUAGGCGGGAAUGUAAGUCGGGCGUGAAAUCCCUAGGCUCAACCUAGGAACUGCACUCGAAACUGCGUUUCUUGAGUGCCGGAGAGGAAAGCGGAAUACCUGGUGUAGAGGUGAAAUUCGUAGAUAUCAGGUGGAACACCAGUGGCGAAGGCGGCUUUCUGGACGGUAACUGACGCUGAGACGCGAAAGCGUGGGGAGCAAACAG
rnacentral:rRNA from 1 species